rnacentral:rRNA from 1 species
GAUUGAACGCUGGCGGUAUGCUUAACACAUGCAAGUCGAACGGAAACGAUGGUAGCUUGCUACCAGGCGUCGAGUGGCGGACGGGUGAGUAACGCGUAGGAAUCUGCCCAGUAGUGGGGGACAACCAGGGGAAACCCUGGCUAAUACCGCAUACACUCUACGGAGAAAAGGAGGCCUCUUCUUGAAAGCUUUCGAUAUCGGAUGAGCCUGCGUGAGAUUAGCUAGUUGAUGAGGUAAAAGCUCACCAAGGCGACGAUCUCUAGCUGGUCUGAGAGGAUGAUCAGCCACACUGGGACUGAGACACGGCCCAGACUCCUACGGGAGGCAGCAGUGGGGAAUAUUGGACAAUGGGCGCAAGCCUGAUCCAGCAAUACCGCGUGUGUGAAGAAGGCCUGAGGGUUGUAAAGCACUUUCAAUUGUGAGGAAAAGCCAAAAGUUAAUAGCUUUUGGUCUUGACGUUAACUUUAGAAGAAGCACCGGCUAACUCCGUGCCAGCAGCCGCGGUAAUACGGAGGGUGCAAGCGUUAAUCGGAAUUACUGGGCGUAAAGCGCACGUAGGCUGUUUAUUAAGUCGGAUGUGAAAGCCCUGGGCUCAACCUGGGAACGGCAUUCGAAACUGUCUUACUAGAGUAUGGUAGAGGGAAGUGGAAUUUCAGGUGUAGCGGUGAAAUGCGUAGAUAUCUGAAGGAACACCAGUGGCGAAGGCGACUUCCUGGACCAAUACUGACACUGAGGUGCGAAAGCGUGGGUAGCAAACGGGAUUAGAUACCCCGGUAGUCCACGCCGUAAACGAUGUCAACUAGUUGUUGGGAGAAUUUAUCUCUUAGUGACGCAGCUAACGUAUUAAGUUGACCGCCUGGGGAGUACGGUCGCAAGACUAAAACUCAAAUGAAUUGACGGGGGCCCGCACAAGCGGUGGAGCAUGUGGUUUAAUUCGAUGCAACGCGAAGAACCUUACCUGGUCUUGACAUCCACAGAACUUUCUAGAGAUAGAUUGGUGCCUUCGGGAACUGUGAGACAGGUGCUGCAUGGCUGUCGUCAGCUCGUGUUGUGAAAUGUUGGGUUAAGUCCCGUAACGAGCGCAACCCUUGUCCUUAUUUGCCAGCACGUAAUGGUGGGAACUUUAAGGAGACUGCCGGUGACAAACCGGAGGAAGGUGGGGACGACGUCAAGUCAUCAUGGCCCUUACGACCAGGGCUACACACGUGCUACAAUGGCCGGUACAGAGGGUUGCAAAGCCUCGAGGUGGAGCCAAUCCCAGAAAACGUCUCGUAGUCCGGCUCGGAGUCUGCAACUCGACUCCGUGAAGUCGGAAUCGCUAGUAAUCGUGGAUCAGAAUGCCACGGUGAAUACGUUCCCGGGCCUUGUACACACCGC